AGAGUGAACGCUGGCGGCGGGCCUAACACAUGCAAGUCGAACGGCAGCACAGGGGAGCUUGCUCCCUGGGUGGCGAGUGGCGGACGGGUGAGGAAUACAUCGGAAUCUACCCAGUCGUGGGGGAUAACCUCGGGAAACCGGGACUAAUACCGCAUACGACCCACGGGUGAAAGCGGAGGACCGCAAGGCUUCGCGCGAUUGGAUGAGCCGAUGUCGGAUUAGCUUGUUGGCGGGGUAACGGCCCACCAAGGCGACGAUCCGUAGCUGGUCUGAGAGGAUGAUCAGUCACACUGGAACUGAGACACGGUCCAGACUCCUACGGGAGGCAGCAGUGGGGAAUAUUGGACAAUGGGCGAAAGCCUGAUCCAGCCAUGCCGCGUGUGUGAAGAAGGUCUUCGGAUUGUAAAGCACUUUAAGUGGAGGAAGGCAGUUACCUAAUACGUAUCUGUUUUGACGUUACCGACAGAAUAAGCACCGGCUAACUCUGUGCCAGCAGCCGA
rnacentral:rRNA from 1 species